CAUUAUAUAUUCUUGACAAAUUGCUAUACUGCGCAUGCUAUACCACAAAUGUUCUUGGUAUUGUAGCGAGUGGAAGUCACAUUCGCAAGAAAUGAACCGGAAGUGGCUCAGCUGCUUUUCAACAUUGCAGAUACAGAAACAGAACCACAGAAAUGAAGGAUGUUUUUCAGGGUGGUGGGGAGAGCCUGCUCAUGCGUUCACAUAG
rnacentral:lncRNA from 1 species